UGGGAUUAUUGUGUUGAAUGCUGAGCUGAAGUUGAUGAACAGCAUUCUAACAUAGGACAUCACAACAUAUAUUGCUUU